rnacentral:rRNA from 1 species
UACAGAGGGUGCGAGCGUUAAUCGGAAUUACUGGGCGUAAAGCGUGCGUAGACGGUUAUUUAAGUCGGAUGUGAAAGCCCCGGGCUCAACCUGGGAAUUGCAUUCGAGACUGAAUAGCUAGGGUGCGGUAGAGGGAAGCGGAAUUCCCGGUGUAGCGGUGAAAUGCGCAGAUAUCGGGAGGAACACCAAUGGCGAAGGCAGCUCGCUGGGACGGUACUGACGCUGAGACGCGAAAGCGUGGGGAGCAAACAGG